rnacentral:rRNA from 1 species
GAUGAACGCUGGCGGCGUGCCUAAAACAUGCAAGUCGAGCGGCAGCGAGUUCCUCGCUAAUGUUCGGAUUUGUUUACCAAUGAUGCAAGUAAUUUAGUCAGAGUAACAAAGUAACGACUAGUUGUUUAAGUUAAAAGGUAGAUUUAAUAUUCCGGAUAUGAGCGAGGAAUGUCGGCGAGCGGCGGACGGCUGAGUAGCGCGUAGGAACAUACCCCAAAGUGAGGCAUAACCGCCCGAAAGGGUGGCUAAUACCGCAUAUUGUCUUCGGAUGAAAGCUUUUAGCGCUUUGGGAAUGGCCUGCGUUUGAUUAGCUAGUUGGUGAGGUAAGGGCUUACCAAGGCGAUGAUCAAUAGCUGGUUUGAGAGAAUGAUCAGCCAGACUGGAACUGAGACACGGUCCAGACUCCUACGGGAGGCAGCAGUUGGGAAUUUUCCACAAUGGGCAAAAGCCUGAUGGAGCAACGCCGCGUGCAGGAAGAAUGCCUUCGGGUUGUAAA